GCGCACGGGUGCGUAACGCGUGGGAAUCUGCCCUUUGCUACGGAACAACCCUGGGAAACUAGGGCUAAUACCGGAUACGCGCGAGAGCGGAAAGGUUUACCGCCGAAGGAUCGGCCCGCGUCUGAUUAGCUAGUUGGUGAGGUAACGGCUCACCAAGGCGACGAUCAGUAGCUGGUCUGAGAGGAUGAUCAGCCACAUUGGGACUGAGACACGGCCCAAACUCCUACGGGAGGCAGCAGUGGGGAAUAUUGGACAAUGGGCGCAAGCCUGAUCCAGCCAUGCCGCGUGAGUGAUGACGGCCCUAGGGUUGUAAAGCUCUUUUACCUGGGAAGAUAAUGACGGUACCAGGAGAAUAAGCCCCGGCUAACUUCGUGCCAGCAGCCGCGGUAAU
rnacentral:rRNA from 1 species